UUUUGUGGUCGUGAAUUUCGCUGUAGUUGAUCCAACUAGCAGUUUACAAAAUGGCUAAAAUUAGUCAUAAAGGUACUAUUCCCUCUAGGCGUGAAUGUGAAGUGCUUUUGAAGUGCUGUGCCUUGUUGGUUGUGGCUCCCAGGAAAAAUCCCUCUAGACACUGGUUUUAACUUUUAGUUUUAGUUAAAAUACAAUUAAUAAAAGAUUUUCUCAAAUACUGGUACGAUAUUAGAAACCACUGGUCAGACUUGUCCAAUUUGACUGGCCUUGUCCAUUUGGAUUUUGCACAAACCUAAUCCUACCUUUCGUUAGUAGCAGUAGGAGCAUGCUGAUAUUUAUUUGUACACCAAACAAGAUUCUCCUAAGUAAUUAAGAGAUUAGACUAAAUCAGCAUGGACAAAGUAACCACACACCUGGGAUGAGAGGUGAGGCAGCCAUCAUGCAGGUUGUGUGUUUUUGUGUGCUAGCCUGGCCCUUGUUUGCCUCUAUUUUUGAUGUGUGUGUGUGUUGUUGUGGUUGUUGUUGUUUAUAUUUAUCAUUUUCCCCUGUCGGUUUCCCUGUCAGUGUAGCCGGCCUUGUUUUAGCUCCUGGCCUCGCCUUUCGUCUCAUCCGGGGAAGGAAUUGGGAUGAGAGAAAUAUUUUUCUCUGCUGUCAGGGGCUUAAAGCGCUGCUGUGUCUGCUCCUUUACUCCCACUGUUUGUCGACAGCCCUGGAAGUGACAUCCACCCAGGCUGUGCGGGGUUUGUGUUGGGUUUCCUUCCUAUGCGUGUGUGGUUCUGCUGUAGCGUUGUUUUUGUACACCACCACAACACGACACCGCUCAGUCAUUAGCUGAUGUCGGUGCCGGUGGUUGGUGGGAUUAAGGCAGGGAAGGGAGAAGCAGAAAAGAAAGGGUUGGAGAGAGAGUGCUUGAGAGGCAAAGAGAAGGAGGGUGGAGGAAGAGCAGGGUGGAGCGAGAUAGAGGAAUGGAGAGAUAGGGAUAGAAGGCUAGGGCGAGAGAGAGUUGUAGAGGGAGGGAGAGAUGUGGGGAGAGAGUCGUAGAGGAAUGGAGAGAUGUGGAGAGAGAGGGCUAGCUGGAGAGAGAGUUGUAGAGGCAUGUCACUAGAGGAGGUAGAGGUGGAGGGAGAGGGAGGGGGGUAGAGAUGGGGCCUUCAUUAACGUCAGACUGGUCCGCGAUAAGGUAUCAAAAGAUAUUUUUUUCCCAAUGCGUGAGACAAGCCAACAGCUGCUGACCAAGCCCUGUGUUUCCUCAUAUGGAGAAAGACGGGAGAGAGUGCGGUGCAUCAUGGGAAAAGUUAAAAAGACAACAAAAAAACAGAGCCAGCGAGGCUGAGAGAAAAAUAAUCUGUCACCACAGUGGGAAUAUUCCUUAGUGCAGCAGUGCUGUCACAAAGCAGCCUCCAUUUCAUACAUUAUUAACACCGCCUAAACACAUUAUGUGUGUAUUUAUUCAUUCAUUUGUCUUGUUAACAUCGUCUCAGAGUGAGACAAACAGCGUGCUCGGACUGGCUGUGUGACAGUUGUGUGUGCAGUGAGAUACGAAUACCAAUCCCGUCAGUGAGAUUGAAACCGAGCGAGCGAGAUAGCAAAGGGCUUGGCGAGUGAGUGAGAGAGAGAGAGAGAGAGAGAGAGAGAGAGAGAGAGAGAGAGAGAGAGAGAGAGAGAGAGAGAGAGAGAGAGAGAGAGAGAGAGAGAGAGAGAGGGAGAGAGACGGAGAGAGACGGAGAGAGAGAGAGAGAGACGGAGAGAGAGAGAGAGAGAGACGGAGAGAGAGAGACAGAGAAGGGCGAAUUAGGGCCUGCUAUGUUCCGCAGCCUCAUUAAGGACAUCGAGGUGAUGAUGUCGUCUCGGCGCCCGCGACCGGCCGCGGCUUCUCUUUGAACAGCCUCGCCCCCUUAUCUGCUGCGCGCUCAGCGGCGCCGUAACGAUGCACACACACACACACGCUCACACAGAAGCACACACACCCUGACACACAAAUCUACGAAACCACAGAUUCACAAUCCCGCACACACAUGGACACACUGGUGUGAACACACACACGCACACCUGCUCCCCACAGAAACAGUCGCGUGCACACCAAUAUCCCUACAAAGACACACAAACACACUCAUGAGAACCCACAAAUAUUAUCCUCACAAACUCACCCCCACACAUUCACCUCCCUCACUUGUCAUGCCUGUGUGGUUUCUGUGCACGCUGGGAGCACACGGCUCAUCCGCUGAAUUUUGGGUGUAUAUGUUUUUCCCCCGCUCGCUGAAAAAUAAAAAAUCCUGUUUCUAUUUUAAAAAAUAGUAUUUUUGCAGCGACAUCACAACUGUGUGUUCUAAUUGGAACUUUUGCCGCUGUCUCCAUCUUGUGUUGGAAGGGCAGAUGGGUAUUGGGGCGGCGGGUGGGGGGGAGGGGUCAGCAGGGGUGGGGGGGGGGGGGUGGCGCGAGGCCUGAUGGUGGUGUAGCGAGGCGUGUCUAAAUCAACUGGCAGCAUGAAUGACUCACUUGAUUCUUGCUGCAAUCCAUGGCAGCACUUUUUUUUUUAACCCUCCUCUUCAAACUGCACUCCUUUUAUUUGCGGAAAGGUCUAGAAUAACUCAUAGGGAAGAUUGAGUACUUUCUGGUGUUCUUCAACCAUAGAAGACUUCUGUGGUUGAAGAACAGACACACACAAACACACUUGCCUACAUUGUUCCGAGCAAGGUCUAAUUUUUUUUCCCGAUUGACAUGGAAUGUUAAAACAUGUAAAGAAUCCAGUUGUGAAGUUGUUCACUAAGCAAUUACUCACAGACCUGUAAACUCACAUAUCUACCCAUAAAUUGAUUUGCCAAUGAAGUUGUUUGAAAUUACAUGAAUAGCUCAGAAUUUGGAACCCAAAGAUGGAAUCAGAAUCCAAAUGGAAUUCUAGCACAUUUUUUAAAUGGAUUUCUAAACCUACUUUAAUUUUGUGGAAUUUGAAACAGAAUUUUUGGAAUUCAACACUAGAAUGAUUUGUAAAUUGAAUUUGGGGAUCCCUGGAUGAUUUACACCUUGGCCCAGGGUAUUUGAUUUACCACUGGACUCCUUCCAGUCUACAGCAGCAGAAAAUGUGGUCCACAUGCUAAGGCUUCACCUGACCCCCUACUCAUAUACAAUAGAGUCAAAGUAGAGUCAAGGAGAGUUGAAGUCGGAGGGAGGACAGGGUGGGGAGUUGCGCCUAGGAGAGAGAGGAUAGUUGAGAAAGAGAGAUUAUGUGUGUGUUGGGAGGUGGAACCAGUUUUCCUGAGUGAAUCAUUUGGUUCAGUGUUUCCAUAGUGGAAUCUGCCUUUUUGUUGAGCUAAUGUGUAUCUUUAUCUUUUGUUAACAAAAAUGGACGAGGUCUUUCUGGAGCAGAGCAAAGACCUUACUCAACCUUGGAUCAAAUAACCAAGCGGUUCUCCGAAGGCCGCAAACCAUUGGAAUGAUUCCUACAACAAAAUCAUAUUGAAUAUAACUUGAUUGUCCUGAUCAUCAUUCAUGCCAUAGAGGAUCGGACCAAAUCUUUUUUGUAUUAUUUCAAGCGUGAAAUCUGCUUCCGCAUGACCUAAAUAUAGGUGUAAAAAACAACAACUGAAAACCUGUUAUUCCUGCUCUCAGCUUCCUCGACCGUUUUAUUGUCCUUAAUGUACCGUCUCCUCGGCCUGCCGUCGCAGCCACCUCCAUCAGGGCUCUCUGUGCCCCACCCUCGCAUGUUUUGCGAUUUGUCGCUCAUCAAACGGGGGGAUAAAAAACCUCAAUCACGGCUCUUCUGGCGGCUCUUCCUCUCCACAGGAAGUGACACGUUGCUCCCCAGCUGAAGGCGUACCUUUAGCGACGGAGCCCAUCUCUGCUUUUAAUGAGCCUACUGACCGCACGGAAUCGCAAUCUGAUCCUGUCCUCCCCGCGACACACAACAAAGGACUGCAGUGGGUUUGGACACAAGACAAACACGCACGCACACAGAAACACACACGCCAUCGCAGUGGUUCUUCCUUAAUAACACAACCAACUGCCAACCAACUGCCAAUCGUAACACAACCAAUAGUUUCUCCUCCAGCCGUGAUCAAAAUGGCUUUGAACCCUGGGUUCCCUUCUGGCUUUCUCCCCAUCUGCAUCAAACACAAAUCAAUAGCCCAAACUUUACAGCGGCGGUAUCUGUUUCUCCACGUAGCAUGCCCCGAUCCCACUCACGUCACGAGCCAGACACACACACACACACACACACACACACAUACACACACAGGCACACAGGCAGGGUGCUGGAAUGUUUCAUUUAAUAAUAGAUACGGAAAAUGAAUAGAUUUUUCAUGUAUGUUCAACAAUACCGACGUAUACCAGUAACGGCCGGCAUUCGCGCUUUUGACUUCCAUCGGCCAAGAAAUCACAAACAACCACCAUUAAGGGGGAUAACCACAGCAUUUGAGAAAGGGAAAAGGUUCCCCACGGACAAAGCCAAAGCUAAAGGGAUCACUAACAAGGUGAUGGAGUUCAUCGCAUUAGAUGCCCAACCUUUCUCCGCUAACUAGCUAAAGUUUGCAAGACAGACAAACAUUGACUUUCAAAAUAUACCCUCUACCAAAAAACCAAGCAAUUGGAAACCGUCGUAGACACAUAAUAAACUAUAAAUAAAUAAUCACACUUCUAUUCUUAUUGUUUUAAUAAAACAUUAAAUACACGGUUCAAAUAUUGUCAAAGAUUAUUUAUGAGAUUGUAUAGAUGAAUGGUUCAUCAAUGAACCAUAACAUAUUUAGGAUAAUUCUAUAAAUGACAUGGAGCCAUGUAUUAGUCGGCAAUGAUCUCCCCCCCCCCCCCCCCCAAAUCCCUUCCUGUUGCAGUAGGCCUCAGUUAAAAGGAGAACGGCACUUGAGAAUGACGACGCUGAGAAAGAAACAUGGCUGCGGAAGGAGGGCCUGGUGAGGUGAAAAUCAAUGGGAUGGCGCACGGAAGCCUCUCCACAUGAGGCCUGGCGUGUGUGUGUGUGUGUGUGUGUGUGUGUGUGUGUGUGUGUGUGUGUGUGUGUGUGUGUGUGUGUGUGUGUGUGUGUGUGUGUGUGUGUGUGUGUGUGUGUGUGUGUGUGUGUGUGUGUGUGUGUGUGUGUGUGUGUGUGUGUGUGUGUGUGUGUGUGUGUCUGUGUGUACUUUUUGCCUGUGUUAUGAACAAAAAAAUAUGCUUUUGUUUACCAAGAGAUAAAGCAUAACCAGGAGUGAGGUAGGGGAGAGAGCGAGGAGUAGGAGGGAGAGCGGGGGGUAGAGGGAGAGAGGGUGCAUGAGAGAGCCGCUCUCCUGAACAUCUUUUGAAAAGAAUAAAAUACACUAAGAGCCGUUGUUUGGUGAGGUGGAGUUGUGUGGUAAAGGCAUCGUUUCAUCCCAGAGCGUAGAAACCAGCGUGGCUUUCAGGCCUCCCCCUCUCUCUAGUCCAGACAGAGCAGAGAGAGACCAUUCAAGGGCCCACCGUGGACCAGGAGACCCCCCGGGCCGGUCCGCAUUAUGAAUACAACAUGAGUAAACACACACCUACACAUACUAUUAGAGUAGUAAGAACAGCGGUCCGUGGUGCAGCCCGACCAGAGGCCCUUAGCAACGCUCGCUCGUCAUCUCGUCUUCGGGGUCAUCACUGUGAGAGGAAUCACAUCUCAUUUGUGGGCGUGAUCGAAUGAUCUGCUGCAUAGGUUUACCAAUGUUCUUUUCGGGGGGAAGGAUUGGGGCUUUCGGCACUGUGGCUUUGAGCCACAGAUGUACUCAAAACCUCAUUGGUCUUCGAUCAUCGCAGGGGACUCUUUCUCAAACCAAACCCAAUAAACAGCUUCCUGCAUUUGGCCCACGCUACCACGUGAAUGAAUGUAUCUCAUCUCGUCUCACCGCCACUAACGUCAGACACAGAACAGCCCACAAGUUGCAUUGUCCAUGUUAUACCUUGUCCAAAUCCUGUGUUCAACCGCAGUUUGACAGCUCAUGUGACCAAUUUAGAUUCCGUUUGAAGUAUAGCGGUGCUUUAACCCUUUCAGUAUGCCAUUGAUUAAUACGACUACCUUUUUAAAAGUGUAAUCAGUCCUUUUUCUAUUAUUAUUAUUUGUUAUCAAUUUAUUUAUUUCUAUUACACAGCAGCUGUGAACUAAGAAUACAAUGGCGGAUGAAAAUUCCGUGUUUUUUUUUUCCUGACGCGGUGAGCGCUGAAUGGCAUUCAAGGCUUUAACAUGUGCGUCGGAGCGCGCCCAUUCAGCUGGAGUGUGCACAGCGGUGAGAGAGACGGUGUCGAGUUGCCUGCAGCUGGCGGUCAGCACCGUGGGCGCAGUUUGCACUGCUGCCGAUGCCAUCGCAUGCCGGAGGAGCACUUCGCCACGCAAAAGGAUGUGCCGAUUUGAAAAGGGUGCGCGUGUGUGUGUGGCGGGAGGGUGGGGCGGGGGUAGUGAUGGUGGCGUCGUUCUUCAUCUUCUCCACACUUUUGUUGUCUGCGCUUCCUGUUUUGAAAGCCAUUAAGGAGCAAAUUUCCUCACAGCGAGAGGGGAGAUGAAAAGGAGCGGUCUUUUGAAACGUGUCCAGGCUGCAGUGUCGGGAAGAGAGAGGGGAGAGAUAGCUAUCAGUAAACAUGGCUGUCAAGGGGUCGGCGGAAUAGGCUAAUUGUGAAGGCGGAAAAACGAGCCAUUCAUUUCAUUUUCCUCUUCUUCUUUUUUUAAUUUGAUCUGCUGAUGAAAGAUGGGUUCUCGCGCACGCGUUUUGUUCCUUCCCAGCUGUGGGGCUUCAUUCACCCGCCGGCGUCGGAGGGGCGCAGCAAGGAGCAAGCCCCUUCACCCCCCUUCACCCCCUUCACCCCCUUCCUAAAAGGCUUUGUGACAUCUGCACCCACACAUGUCUGCAUUCACCCAUAGCCACUGGGUAUUUAUAGAUGAGUCGGCUCUUUCAUGCCCCGAGCUCGUUGAGGUACAGAUGACGUGAAGAUGCAAACGUGACUGCUCGCCCUUCACAAAUAUAUUUAUGUAUUUUGGUAAUGGUAGCGUUGUAUCGUAUGGCCCGCUUACCUGACCGAUGCAAUGCUUACGGAUCAGAUCCAUACAAUGAUAAUUUUUGGUUGUGACGAGACCUGGGUGUGUGUGUCCUUGACCUUUUUGUAGUCCUUCAGCCAUCAGGUAGACUCAAACCAUCAGCGUGCUGGUUUCUGUAGCACUACAGAACCCCUCCUUUCUCAUCUCCCCUUUCCCCCACCGACAGCUCCGUCUUUAUAUAAACAACCACACACACACACACACACACACACACACACACACACACACACACACACACACACACACACACACACACACACACACACACACACACACACACACACACACACGCACGCACCCCUUUGCAGUUACACGUACGUACAUGCACACACACUUUUCACCACACUUGCACAUGUGCAUGCACACACACUUUUGUACACACCAACCCAUGCGCACAUGCCUGCACACGCGUACAAACACACGAGCACACAUGUACACACACCCAGCCUCUCAGCGCGCUGCCCCUGCGCUUG